rnacentral:rRNA from 1 species
AUUGAACGCUGGCGGCAGGCCUAACACAUGCAAGUCGAGCGAGCGGCGGACGGGUGAGUAAUGUCUGGGAAACUGCCUGAUGGAGGGGGAUAACUACUGGAAACGGUAGCUAAUACCGCAUACCAUCAGAUGUGCCCAGAUGGGAUUAGCUAGUAGGUGGGGUAACGGCUCACCUAGGCGACGAUCCGUAGCUGGUCUGAGAGGAGGACCAGCAAAACUGGAACGGAGACACGGGCCGAACUCCGACGGGAGGCAGCAGUGGGGAAUAUUGCACAAUGGGCGAAAGCCUGAUGCAGCCAUGCCGCGUGUGUGAAGAAGGCCUUCGGGUUGUAAAGCACUUUCAGCGGGGAGGCGUUACCCGCAGAAGAAGCACCGGCUAACUCCGUGCCAGCAGCCGCGGUAAUUC